GUGCUUAACACAUGCAAGUCGAGCGAUGAAGUUUCUUCGGAAAUGGAUUAGCGGCGAACGGGUGAGGAACACGUGAAGAAUCUGCCCUCCACUUUGGGAUAACACCGGGAAACCGGUGCUAAUACCGAAUAUUGAAACAUAAGUGGCAUCACUGAGUUUUGAAAGAAUUUCGGUGGAGGAUGACUUCGCGGCCUAUCAGCUAGUUGGUGAGGUAAUGGCUCACCAAGGCAACGACGGGUAGCCGGCCUGAGAGGGCGACCGGCCACACUGGGACUGAGACACGGCCCAGACUCCUACGGGAGGCAGCAGUGGGGAAUAUUGGGCAAUGGAGGAAAUUCUGACCCAGCGACGCCGCGUGCGGGAUGAAGGCCUUCGGGUUGUAAACCGCUUUCAGUAGGGAAGAAGCGAAAGUGACGGUACCUACAAAAGAAGCACCGGCUAACUAUGUGCCAGCAGCCGCGGUAAUACAUAGGGUGCAAGCGUUGUCCGGAAUUAUUGGGCGUAAAGAGCUCGUAGGUCGUUUGUUACGUCGGAUGUGAAAACCUGAGGCUCAACCUCAGGCCUGCAUUCGAUACGGGCAAACUAGAGUUUGGUAGGGGAGACUGGAAUUCCUGGUGUAGCGGUGGAAUGCGCAGAUAUCAGGAGGAACACCAAUGGCGAAGGCAGGUCUCUGGGCCAAUACUGACACUGAGGAGCGAAAGUCUGGGGAGCGAACAGGAUUAGAUACCCUGGUAGUCCAGACCGUAAACGGUGGGCACUAGUUGUGGGAACCUUCCACGGUUUCUGCGACGCAGCUAACGCAUUAAGUGCCCCGCCUGGGGAGUACAUAGAAAAU
rnacentral:rRNA from 1 species